UCCCUCUCAGGGUCGCAGCUGGAGAGAUUCCAGUACUCUCCCAGUCAUGACUACAGGAGGGAGAGUGAAGCAGAAGCAUAUCCAUUCCAUUCCUAGCUUGGGCAGUGGCUAGCGAGUGAAAGGCAAUCUGCUACAAGU